UACGUAGGGGGCAAGCGUUGUCCGGAUUUAUUGGGCGUAAAGAGCGUGUAGGCGGCUAUGCAGGUCCGCUGUGAAACUCGAGGCUCAACCUCGAGACGUCGGUGGAAACCGCAUGGCUAGAGUCCGGAAGAGGAGAGUGGAAUUCCCGGUGUAGCGGUGAAAUGCGCAGAUAUCGGGAAGAACACCCGUGGCGAAGGCGGCUCUCUGGGACGGUACUGACGCUGAGACGCGAAAGCGUGGGGAGCGAACAGG
rnacentral:rRNA from 1 species